rnacentral:lncRNA from 1 species
AACUGAAAUAAUUGUGCACCUUGCUAAAUAACCCAUCACUGUAUUAUGUAUUUCCAACAAGAAAUAUACUAGCACAGGAGGUAGAGUUAAAAUUCGAUGUAUUAAUCGCACACUAUUUACAUCACCUUUUGUACUAGAGGACUCCCCUGAGCUGCCUGAGCCGACCCCCCUGGCUGCCCCCGCACCUCCGUCGCCCCGCACCGCACAUCUGAUGGAAGAGGCGCGGCGGAGGCAGCCCCGGGUGCAUCUCAGACGCCUGGCACUGCCACCCGGGUGCAUCUCCUGCCGGCUGGCAGACAAGGACAAGCAGCACGGGGACAGCAGCCAGCCGGCCAAGCACCCCGUGCCUCCUCUGAUGCAAACUGGACAGCUCAUGGAGGAGGCACGGCGAAGGCAGCCCCGAGUGCUUCUCACCCGCCUGGCACUGCCCACCCCCCUGGCUGCCCCCGCACCUCCGUCGCCCUGCACUGCACACCUGAUGGAGGAGGCACGGCGGAGGCAGCCCCGGGUGCUGCUCAGCCGCCUUUGACUGCCACCCGGCUGCAUCUCCUGACAAAUGGCACACAAGCAGCACGGGGACAGCAGCCAGCCGGCCAAGUGCCCAGCACCCACCUGCACCACCACAAGAGGCCAGAGCAGCGGGCACAAGCAGCACACUGGCAGCCAGUGUCCCCGCCACAACCAGGAAGACACCGCGCUGCCAGCAUGUUCCAGGCCACAACCACCGGCGCUAGGCGGAGCUGCCUGUGUCAGCACGGCGGCCGGCAGGAGGACUCGCUGCCCAUCACACCCCAACAGCGGCUCCAGCGGGAGCGCACCAAGAAACCGGCCCACUUGCUGGAGCAGGAGACGUGGCCGGAGCCGACCAAGGCGCUUCCCUGGAGCCCUGGGCUCCUGGCCGGCCCCCACCACACCCAGAGAGCAGCGGCAGUGUUCCAGGGGCACCAGCACCGGCCCCAGCCCUACCCCUCCCAAACUGGGCUGUCCGCAAACGGCAUCUUGCACUGGGGCACUGCGGGGCUCUGAAGAUGAUGCACCGACAAAGCCUUGCACUGUCAAAGCUCCGGGCUGGGAAAUGCUGGGUGGGGGGUGGGAAAUGGUUGGGGGGGAAGGGGUGGGAAUUCUUGGGGUGGCCAAUAUGAGGGUGGGAAUUGGGGGUGGGAAUUUUUGGGGUGGGGGAGUGGUUGGGGGGCGGGAGUUUGGGGUGGGAAUUCAUGGGACCUUUUUGGGGUGGGCAAUGAAAUGGCUGUACUCUGCUACUGGUGGGGUGGGAAUCUGGGGGCCGUUGUAAUACCAGAAGAAUUUUACAGAGCAGCAGCCAUGCAUCAAGAGAAGGGCUUCACAGAGCAGCAGCUGUGGAGGGAGCAGGAGAAACAGCAUGAGAACCAAGGACACCUCUAGGAAAAGAAUGAGUAGCUCGCGGCUUUCAAGGGGGGUCUUUGACCGGGGGUUGUUAUUGCGGUAGCUUUCCUCCAAUUGGUGUCUGUGGUUUUUAAACGCCCUCGUCUGUCUGCUAUAAAAGCAUGGCUUUUCGGGCAGUCGAUGGACGCAGCCAUAUUUAACCAUACUGCUGUCUGUCUGUCCUAGCACGCUGACCUUUUGCCUUCAGGUUCGCCAACUACUGUCUCAGGAACCAGAGUUAUUAGGCAUUAUCCAGGUUAUCUUGUGCUUCUACUAUGUUAAUAGAUUGGAUGUGAAUCCAAUGGGGUCUGAUGUUACCAAUGGUGCUGGAAUCUGCGGGAAUAAUCAUUGAAUGUAUUAGUAAUGCUCGGUUAUGAUGCUAUUACCUCUCUUAUACCUCUCUUAUAUCCAACUAAUUUGGAUUUUCAAAUAUGACCACGCAUCACUGAGAGGAAGGCGCACGCUCAUAGAACCUGAAUGGGAGGGAUGGA